rnacentral:rRNA from 1 species
AUUGAACGCUUGCGGCAGGCCUAACACAUGCAAGUCGAGCGGAUGAAGGGAGCUUGCUCCUGGAUUCAGCGGCGGACGGGUGAGUAAUGCCUAGGAAUCUGCCUGGUAGUGGGGGAUAACGUCCGGAAACGGGCGCUAAUACCGCAUACGUCCUGAGGGAGAAAGUGGGGGAUCUUCGGACCUCACGCUAUCAGAUGAGCCUAGGUCGGAUUAGCUAGUUGGUGGGGUAAAGGCCUACCAAGGCGACGAUCCGUAACUGGUCUGAGAGGAUGAUCAGUCACACUGGAACUGAGACACGGUCCAGACUCCUACGGGAGGCAGCAGUGGGGAAUAUUGGACAAUGGGCGAAAGCCUGAUCCAGCCAUGCCGCGUGUGUGAAGAAGGUCUUCGGAUUGUAAAGCACUUUAAGUUGGGAGGAAGGGCAGUAAGUUAAUACCUUGCUGUUUUGACGGUACCAACAGAAUAAGCACCGGCUAACUUCGUG